CGGUUGAUCCUGCCGGAGGACAUUGCUAUUGGGAUUCGAUUUAGCCAUGCUAGUCGAACGAGUUUACACUCGUGGCAGAUAGCUCAGUAACACGUGGCCAAGCUACCCUUCAGUCGGCAAUACCCUCGGGAAACUGAGGCUAAUGGCCGAUAUGGAACAGUCGCUGGAAUGCACUGUUUUCUAAAGACAUCGCUGAAGGAUGCGGCUGCGGCCGAUUAGGUAGACGGUGGGGUAACGGCCCACCGUGCCAGUAAUCGGUACGGGUGAUGAGAGUCAGAGCCCGGAGACGGAAUCUGAGACAAGAUUCCGGGCCCUACGGGGCGCAGCAGGCGCGAAACCUUUACACUGCACGGAAGUGCGAUAGGGGAAUCCCAAGUGCGAGGGCAUAUUAGCCCUCGCUUUUGUUGACUGUAAGGUGGUCAACGAAUAAGAGCUGGGCAAGACCGGUGCCAGCCGCCGCGGUAAUACCGGCAGCUCAAGUGAUGUCCCAUAUUAUUGGGCCUAAAGCGUCCGUAGCUGGCCAACCAAGUCCAUCGGGAAAUCCACCUGCCCAACGGGUGGGCGUCCGGUGGAAACUGGCUGGCUUGGAACCGGAAGGCUCAGAGAGUACGUCCGGGGUAGGAGUGAAAUCCCGUAAUCCCGGACGGACUACCGAUGGCGAAAGCACUCUGAGAAGACGGCUUCGACAGUGAGGGACGAAAGCUCGGGUCUCAAACCGGAUUAGAUACCCCGGUAGUC
rnacentral:rRNA from 1 species